UCAGUAACACGUGGCUAACCUACCCUCAGGACGGGGACAAACCCGGGAAACUGGGGCUAAUACCAGAUAGGCGAGAAUGCCUGGAAUGGUUUUUCACCCAAAAGACUUUGAAAAGCAUGCUUUUCAAAGUCGCCUGGGGAUGGGGCCGCGUCCGAUCAGGUUGUUGGUGAGGUAACGGCUCACCAAGCCUAUAACCGGUACGGGCCGUGAGAGCGGUAGCCCGGAGAUGGGCACUGAGACAAGGGCCCAGGCCCUACGGGGCGCAGCAGUCGCGAAAACUCCGCAAUGCACGAAAGUGUGACGGGGCUACCCCGAGUGCCGUCCGCUGAGGAUGGCUUUUCCUCGGUGUAACCAGCCGAGGGAAUAAGGAGAGGGCAAGACUGGUGUCAGCCGCCGCGGUAAUACCAGCUCUCCGAGUGGUAGGGAUGAUUAUUGGGCUUAAAGCGUCCGUAGCCGGCUUAGCAAGUCUCCUGUUAAAUUCAGCGACCUAAUCGUUGAGCCGCGGGAGAUACUACUAGGCUAGGAGGCGGGAGAGGUCGACGGUACUUCCGGGGUAGGGGUGAAAUCCUAUAAUCCCGGGAGGACCACCAGUGGCGAAGGCUGUCGACUAGAACGCGCUCGACGGUGAGGGACGAAAGCUGGGGGAGCGAACCGGAUUAGAUACCCGGGUAGUCCCAGCCGUAAACGAUGCGGGCUAGGUGUUGGGGUGGCUACGUGCCACUUCAGUGCCGCAGGGAAGCCAUUAAGCCCGCCGCCUGGGGAGUACGGCCGCAAGGCUGAAACUUAAAGGAAUUGGCGGGGGAGCACCACAAGGCGUGAAGCUUGCGGUUCAAUUGGAUUCAACGCCGGAA
rnacentral:rRNA from 1 species